UGCAUAAUUUGUGGUAGUGGGGGA
rnacentral:piRNA from 7 species